rnacentral:rRNA from 1 species
AUUCUUCGGAUGAGCUCUUUUGUGACUGAGCGGCGGACGGGUGAGUAACGCGUGGGUAACCUGCCUCAUACAGGGGGAUAACAGUUAGAAAUGACUGCUAAUACCGCAUAAGCGCACAGUGCUGCAUGGCACAGUGUGAAAAACUCCGGUGGUAUGGGAUGGACCCGCGUUGGAUUAGGCAGUUGGCGGGGUAACGGCCCACCAAACCGACGAUCCAUAGCCGGCCUGAGAGGGUGGACGGCCACAUUGGGACUGAGACACGGCCCAAACUCC